rnacentral:rRNA from 1 species
GCUUAACACAUGCAAGUCGCACGAAGGUUUCGGCCUUAGUGGCGGACGGGUGAGUAACGCGUAGGAAUCUAUCCAUGGGUGGGGGAUAACACUGGGAAACUGGUGCUAAUACCGCAUGAUACCUGAGGGUCAAAGGCGCAAGUCGCCUGUGGAGGAGCCUGCGUUCGAUUAGCUAGUUGGUGGGGUAAAGGCCUACCAAGGCGAUGAUCGAUAGCUGGUUUGAGAGGAUGAUCAGCCACACUGGGACUGAGACACGGCCCAGACUCCUACGGGAGGCAGCAGUGGGGAAUAUUGGACAAUGGGGGCAACCCUGAUCCAGCAAUGCCGCGUGUGUGAAGAAGGUCUUCGGAUUGUAAAGCACUUUCGACGGGGACGAUGAUGACGGUACCCGUAGAAGAAGCCCCGGCUAACUUCGUGCCAGCAGCCGCGGUAAUACGAAGGGGGCUAGCGUUGCUCGGAAUGACUGGGCGUAAAGGGCGUGUAGGCGGUUUUGACAGUCAGAUGUGAAAUCCCCGGGCUUAACCUGGGAGCUGCAUUUGAGACGUUAAGACUAGAGUGUGAGAGAGGGUUGUGGAAUUCCCAGUGUAGAGGUGAAAUUCGUAGAUAUUGGGAAGAACACCGGUGGCGAAGGCGGCAACCUGGCUCAUUACUGACGCUGAGGCGCGAAAGCGUGGGGAGCAAACAGGAUUAGAUACCC